ensembl:lncRNA
CCUCCAUUGACUUAGGUCACCACCCUUGCCUCUGAUGUUUCAUUUUUGGGAAAUAAACCGUGAUGUGUUCAGGCAUGAUAUACUUAUGUCUGUUUAUACUAAAGCCUAACUAGCCUAUCUUACUCCACUAGUUGAAGAUGGCACCAACCCAGUCUAACAGAGUCAGUUCUCUUUUCUAAUUCCGGCCAGACUAGAGCAAAAGAGCUGGAAUCAAAGGAGAAAGAGAGAGAAAUGGAAGAGCAAACAAUAGCCUUCUACCCUCCAUUUCCAGCACAAGCUGGAGGCAAACAAAAAGAUGAGAUUGGAGCUCAACUGGUAGAAAAAAAGUCCGUAACUCAAAGGAGAUCAGCUACUUCUGCAGCAGGCCCUAUGCUAAUUACUUUAUAAGUACUCAUUCUUUCAACUUACACCAGCUCUAUGAGAUGUUCUCAAACAAACUUUGGGUGAUGACAAUGGUGAUGAUGAUGAUGGUGAUGAUGAUGAUGACGAUAAUGAAGAUUCAAAAACACUACCAUCGAAUGCUUAUGCAUCAAAAAUUGUUCUCACUGCUUUUCAUAAAAUACAUUAAUUAACCAUCUCCACAAACAUAUCAGAUGGCACUUCCUGUUUGAUCUUCCAGAAAACGUCUUUCUCUACAUCUACUCACUGCUCUAAAACUGCCAUGGCCUGGGCAUCACCAACAACAGCAUUUCUCACUCUGUAGCCCAUGGACCUUCGGCAGACAAGUCACCUGAAAUCAUGUUCAUAAUGCUAAUUCUUGGUUGAAACUCAGACCUGUAGAAUCAGAAUCUCUACAGAUUUGGCUGUGCAAUCCGUAUUCUGAAAAGCAUACUAGGUCUAACUAGUAAGGCCUAAGGAAAGCAAUUUAAAUCACCACAUUUGGCAUCUAAGACUUCAUACUCUCUUCCCUAUGUUCUCUCUCCCAGUGAGCCCUAGUGUUCAUGCCCCCAAUCUACCCAAGAAGCUAGUUUUGGACUUUUUUUGACUGUUAAAAUAUACAUCCUCAUGGUUAGUUUAAUUAUUUUAUUUAAACUACAGAUGACAGUUUUUCAUUAUUUUCCUUUCAAUUUUGACUGCAGAAAGAGAGAAAAAAAAAAGACAAGCGAGCCAGUAGUGAUAAUUUCCAAGAGGCAAGCAUUGAAAGGACUUAGGAUAAGAGUUCAUUUAAUUUCAUUUUAUGCAAAUAAAAUAAAAUAAUAAGAC